rnacentral:SRP_RNA from 1 species
CUCGGAAGUCGGCGGACGACUUGCCCGUGAACCUGGUCAGGCCCGGAAGGGAGCAGCCACAGCGGUUUCGGUCGGGUCGUCGGCUUCCACCUUC